GAUGAACGCUAGCGGCAGGCUUAACACAUGCAAGUCGAGGGGUAUAGUUCUUCGGAACUAGAGACCGGCGCACGGGUGCGUAACGCGUAUGCAAUCUACCUUUUGCAGAGGGAUAGCCCAGAGAAAUUUGGAUUAAUACCUCAUAGUAUAGCAGUUUCGCAUGAAACCACUAUUAAAGUCACAACGGCAAAAGAUGAGCAUGCGUCCCAUUAGCUAGUUGGUAAGGUAACGGCUUACCAAGGCUACGAUGGGUAGGGGUCCUGAGAGGGAGAUCCCCCACACUGGUACUGAGACACGGACCAGACUCCCUACGGGAGGCAGCAGUGAGGAAUAGUUGGACAAUGGGGCGCAAGCCUGAUCCAGCCAUGCCGCGUGCAGGAUGACGGUCCUAUGGAUGUAAAC
rnacentral:rRNA from 1 species